rnacentral:tRNA from 1 species
AUUUAUAUAGUAUAUUUAUUACAUUUAAUUUCCAAUUAAAAAAUCUAUUACUUAGUAUAAAUA